CUUCAACUGCUCCAGGAAUUCACUGUGCUCAUCAUCCAGCCAGGCCUCCUCCAGCUAAGGGUGAAUAAGGAAGGAAAGCAUACGGAGAGAGAGAGAAGGGUUAUCUGGACCUGCAAACUCCACUCUCAUCACCCGUGUUUCCAGCAGCAGCAGGCAACUGUUUCCAGUAAAAUCGAAAGGACAACCGGAUGCAAACCUCCUCCUCCCCAUUCACCUCCAGUCUUCAGCUCAUCCACUUUUUAGUCCUGAUCCUCAUCCCAUCAUCCCUAUCCUUCAGCCAACACUCUCGUCACCUCGACCUCCAGCGUCUACACGCCAUUGAGGGAUCUCCCUACCUGCUCAGCUCCUACCACCUCAUUGUUGGGAUUCAUCUCACUUGCCACAAGUCUAUUUAAGACUGGCCAUUUUCAAGAUUGCUCUUCCUCUCUCCCUCCUGGAAGGCUGGUGCCUCUUAGGCACCCAAAAUGGCUUUGUUUGGUUUGUUUGUUGACCUGUUUGUUUCUUUAUGGUUUCAGUUAGCACCCACACAAAAGCCACCCACAAGCAACACCCACAGCUCAAACUGACUGUUGACCUACACAUUGGCUUGCUUUUGC